GACGAACGCUGGCAGCGUGCCUAACACAUGCAAGUCGAGCGAAGUGAUUUGGAGUGAAGUUUUCGGAUGGAACAAAGAAUCAUCUUAGCGGCGAACGGGUGAGUAACGCGUGAGAAACCUGCCUUUCACAAAGGGAUAGCCUCGGGAAACUGGGAUUAAUACCUUAUGAUACUCUUAGAUCGCAUGAUCUGAAAGUUAAAGUGUAAAGCGGUGAAAGAUGGUCUCGCGUCCUAUUAGCUAGUUGGUGAGGUAACGGCUCACCAAGGCUGCGAUAGGUAGCCGGCCUGAGAGGACGAUCAGCCACACUGGAACUGAGACACGGUCCAGACUCCUACGGGAGGCAGCAGUGGGGAAUAUUGCACAAUGGAGGAAACUCUGAUGCAGCGACGCCGCGUGAAUGAUGAAGGCCUUCGGGUCGUAAAGUUCUGUCCUUGGGGAAGAUAAUGACGGUACCUGAAAAACAAGCCACGGCUAACUACGUG
rnacentral:rRNA from 1 species